UACGAAGGGGGCUAGCGUUGCUCGGAAUUACUGGGCGUAAAGGGCGCGUAGGCGGAUAGUUUAGUCAGAGGUAAAAGCCCAGGGCUCAACCCCGGAACCGCCGUUGAUACUGGGGGGCUUGAGUAUGGACGAGGUUGGCGGAAUUGAGGGUGUAGCGGUGAAAUGCUUAGAUACCCUCAAGAACACCGAUUGCGUAGGCAGCUAACUAGGCCAUAACUGACGCUGAGGCACGAAAGCGUGGGGAGCGAACAGG
rnacentral:rRNA from 1 species